UGAGCAAUCUGCCCUUCUCUUCGGAAUAAGCGUGGGAAACCGCGUCUAAUGCCGAAUACGACCUCCUUUCGCAUGAUCGGAGGUGGAAAGCUCCGGCGGAGAAGGAUGAGCUCGCGGCCUAUCAGCUAGUUGGUGAGGUAACGGCUCACCAAGGCGACGAUGCGUAGCCGACCUGAGGAGGGUGAUCGGCCACAUUGGAACUGAGACACGGCCCAGACCUCUACGGGGA
rnacentral:rRNA from 1 species